rnacentral:rRNA from 1 species
UGGGGAAUCUUGGACAAUGGGCGCAAGCCUGAUCCAGCCAUGCCGCGUGAGUGAUGAAGGCCCUAGGGUUGUAAAGCUCUUUCAACGGUGAAGAUAAUGACGGUAGCCGGAGAAGAAGCCCCGGCUAACUCCGUGCCAGCAGCCGCGGUAAUACGGAGGGGGCUAGCGUUGUUCGGAAUUACUGGGCGUAAAGCGCGCGUAGGCGGAUUGUUAAGUCGGGGGUGAAAUCCCGGGGCUCAACCCGGAACUGCCUUCGAUACUGGCAAUCUAGAGAUCUGGAGAGGCGAGUGGAAUUCCGAGUGUAGAGGUGAAAUUCGUAGAUAUUCGGAGGAACACCAGUGGCGAAGGCGGCUCGCUGGCCAGAUACUGACGCUGAGGUGCG